GCUGAGACUGUAAUCUUCAAUGUCCAGAUUUGAACCCCUUCAACAGCAUCAGAGAUACAAAACCAUGUUAGAUCUGCCUUUCAAAGAUCAGUGAACACUGGAGUCCAAACAUAUCUGAAUUUUGAGAAAGAUCAUACUGAGGCAUGAUUCCAGGAUUUUGCAAUACCUUUGCCGUCCCAGAUUCUAAGAAGCUGACUUUGUUUUAAUCAGUUGCUCAAAGGAUUGGAUAGGUAGUGAAUGGAUGCCACUCCGGGGUUCCUGCAGUGAGAACACUAUCUGAGGACAAGCAAGAAUUAAGGAGAGAAAUAAAUUCAGAGACAUUGUUCUAUCUUUCGGUGCACCUCUCCGCCUUCUCAGAUUUGGGAUUUUGAACAUGAAGAAUGAACUUUAAUGAAACUGGACAAGAGCAGCAGUGAUGGAAUCAGAACUCACUUCAGGAUGCAACAAUCCAGCACCUCACAUCAUCUUUGCUACCCUGAAAGACUUAUGGAAGAUGGAGCCCAAAGUCAUGAACUUAAUGAACUCAAUAGACUCUUAUAGGGAUAGUCCAUAAACUAAGGGAAUGAUAUCUGUGUGCAUAUAUAAAAGGACAGGAAAGGUGAUGGUAUAGUGAAAAGUGUGGGACCUGACAUGACAUAAAUGGUGUGGAGUAAGGGAUGAAUACUGCACUGGUUUCCGCUGGAAUAGACUUAAUUCUCUUCCUAGUCAUUGGUAUAGUACUGUGUUUUGGAUUCAAUAUGAGAAUAAUGCUGAUAAUACACUGAUGUUUUGGUUGUUGCUGAGUAGUG